rnacentral:lncRNA from 1 species
AAAACUUGUAAUAUGAUUUGCAAGAUAUAAAAGUAUAGUAUGAGUACCAAACAUGAGGUACUCAGUAGGCAUCAAUGGAUUGAGCUCCAAAAAUACUACAAGUAUAAAUAACACACAAGGUAAGAAGAUACAUAACUGGCAACUAACUAAGAAAUAAAACACAAUAAGGAUAAAAGAGGGGUAAAUGUAAACUACUAUACUCUACCAGAAUAGGAAAGAUGGUAUGAUACAUUAAAUAGCUAAACAAUAUAUCAUAGUAGUACGAAAGAAGAGAUAUACAAUAGUAGUACGAAGAAAUAGAUGUUCACUAUUAGUAUAAGAAAAAGUAU